GACGAACGCUGGCGGCGUGCUUAACACAUGCAAGUCGAACGGAAAGGCCCUGCUUUUGUGGGGUGCUCGAGUGGCGAACGGGUGAGUAACACGUGAGUAACCUGCCCUUGACUUUGGGAUAACUUCAGGAAACUGGGGCUAAUACCGGAUAGGAGCUCCUGCUGCAUGGGGGGGGUUGGAAAGUUUCGGCGGUUGGGGAUGAACUCGCGGCUUAUCAGCUGGUUGGUGGGGUAGUGGCUUACCAAGGCUUUGACGGGUAGCCGGCCUGAGAGGGUGACCGGCCACCUUGGGACUGAGAUACGGCCCAGACUCCUACGGGAGGCAGCAGUGGGGAAUAUUGCACACUGGGCGGAAGCCUGAUGCAGCAACGCCGCGUGCGGGAUGACGGCCUUCGGGUUGUAAACCGCUUUCGCCUGUGCCGAAGCGUGAGUGACGGUAAUGGGUAAAGAAGCACCGGCUAACUACGUG
rnacentral:rRNA from 1 species